rnacentral:rRNA from 1 species
AGCAGCCGCGGUAAUUCCAGCUCCAAUAGCGUAUAUUAAAGUUGUUGCAGUUAAAAAGCUCGUAGUUGAACUUCGGGGUUUACCCAUUGGUCAGGCUUAAUUGUCUGCACUGGUGAGAUGGAUCUCUACCUUCUGAGGAACUUUCAUGCCAUUUAUUUGGUGUGAUGGGAAAUCAGGACUGUUACUUUGAAAAAUUAGAGUGUUUAAAGCAGACUAUCGUCUGAAUACAUUAGCAUGGAAUAAUGAAAUAGGACGGACUGAUUCUAUUUCGUUGGUUUCUAGGAUCACCGUAAUGAUUAAUAGGGAUGGUUGGGGGCAGUUAGUAUUCAAUUGUCAGAGGUGAAAUUCUUGGAUUUAUUGAAGACUAACUACUGCGAAAGCAUUUGCCAAGGGUGUUUUCAUUAAUCAAGAACGAAAGUUAGGGGAUCGAAGCGAUCAGAUACCGUGUAGUCUUAAACCAUAAACCUAUGCCGACUAGGGAUCGGGACGAAGUUAAUUUUAUAAAUGAACGCG